GGACAACAUGGGCUGAUUGGCAUAUAAGCUUGGAGACGAUUAUACAAUGGUCUCCUUUUUGCACUGAAGCAGAACUUCUUCAGGAGUUUGGCUCAAUAGGGGAACAAGGAACUCGAAUUGUUAUAUACAAUCUGUGGGAAGAUGAGGAAGGAGAGUUGGAACUUGAUUUUGAAGCUGACGUAAACGUAAUUGCCAGUUAGUAACUAACAAGUUCAUGUUGACACAAAUGUGGCUGAUUAUGAUUUUUGGUGAUGUUCAAAAUGCAGGAUAUUCGAAUUAUAGGUGCUAAUCGUGACCAGAAAAAAAAAAUCCAGAAGGAAGCAAAUAUAACAAGUAACGGAGAUGAACAAUCUAUUGCUGACCAUGAGGCUUUUUAUCAAGCAGUUGAAGGAUGAAAAUUCAUCAUUGAAGAAUGGCUUUUUUCAAGCAGUAAGCCAUUCUUGUAUAUUCCCUGUUGCAGGAGGCCUCCACCGUACAUGACCUGAUGGAGCAGCUCAAUGCUGCCAGGAAAUGAAGGAGCAGAGGAAACACGAUUUCCUUCGCUGUCAUAGUAAGUGCGUCGGCACGCUAUCGCCCGUGCACAGGUGAAAGUGGCUGUCAGGAUGCAAGUUUUGUAUUUUCUAGUUAUUGGAUUGAAUUAAAAUAAAAAAAUGA